rnacentral:rRNA from 1 species
GACGAACGCUGGCGGCGUGCUUAACACAUGCGAGUCGAACGGAAAGGCCCUGCCUUUGUGGGGUGCUCGAGUGGCGAACGGGUGAGUAACACGUGAGUAACCUGCCCUUGACUUUGGGAUAACUUCAGGAAACUGGGGCUAAUACCGGAUAGGAGCUCCUGCUGCAUGGUGGGGGUUGGAAAGUUUCGGCGGUUGGGGAUGGACUCGCGGCUUAUCAGCUUGUUGGUGGGGUAGUGGCUUACCAAGGCUUUGACGGGUAGCCGGCCUGAGAGGGUGACCGGCCACAUUGGGACUGAGAUACGGCCCAGACUCCUACGGGAGGCAGCAGUGGGGAAUAUUGCACAAUGGGCGGAAGCCUGAUGCAGCAACGCCGCGUGCGGGAUGACGGCCUUCGGGUUGUAAACCGCUUUCGCCUGUGACGAAGCGUGAGUGACGGUAAUGGGUAAAGAAGCACCGGCUAACUACGUG